AUUGAACGCUGGCGGCAUGCCUUACACAUGCAAGUCGAACGGUAACGGGCCUUCGGGUGCCGACGAGUGGCGAACGGGUGAGUAAUACAUCGGAACGUGCCCGAUCGUGGGGGAUAACGAGGCGAAAGCUUUGCUAAUACCGCAUACGAUCUACGGAUGAAAGCAGGGGACCGCAAGGCCUUGCGCGGACGGAGCGGCCGAUGGCAGAUUAGGUAGUUGGUGGGAUAAAAGCUUACCAAGCCGACGAUCUGUAGCUGUUCUGAUAGGAUGAUCAGCCACACUGGGACUGAGACACGGCCCAGACUCCUACGGGAGGCAGCAGUGGGGAAUUUUGGACAAUGGGCGCAAGCCUGAUCCAGCCAUGCCGCGUGCAGGAUGAAGGCCUUCGGGUUGUAAACUGCUUUUGUACGGAACGAAAAGCCUUCUUUUAAUACAGGAGGGUCAUGACGGUACCGUAAGAAUAAGCACCGGCUAACUACGUG
rnacentral:rRNA from 1 species